rfam:Ixodes scapularis strain Wikel colony gcontig_1107728781972, whole genome shotgun sequence.
GCCGGGAUGGUUUAAUCGGUUAAAAGCGUCGCCCCGGACAGGCGAAGGUUGCGGGUUCAAUCCCCGCUCCUGGCC